AAAAUAUGCAAAUGUGGGAAGCAGUCUGCUGUGACUCAGCAGAAAUGAUGAGACCUGCUGUCUGACUGGUUAACAGCCGGUUUGAUGUAGGCUUUCUUUCUUUUUUUCUACCUACUACUAUAACCGCAGACAACAUCUCUGGCUAUCCCGCCCAUAAGCGUCACUGAUUCAAACUGCAGCCGAGGCAGAGAGAGAGCAGAGCGCCGGGCUGAUCACACACACUCACACUGUCAGGAGCAGAGGCAGCGAGAGGAGCAUACACACACACACACACGGAGCGAGUGAGAGGCUGGGGAUCCUUCACUGCUUUUUCACUUGCAUGAACCGCAACCGUAGACCCCCCCGGGAUCUAAAGAUGUGGACAGAAGUCGGGAAGCUUGUCUUACUACAUUUGUUACUCAUGGAGCUCCAUUGCGCUAAAGGAACUCAUACGGAGUCGGAGUGUGAAGCCGGGCAGUUUCAGUGCAAGAAUGGACGAUGCAUCCCGACCCUGUGGAGAUGUGAUGAUGAUGAUGACUGCUCGGACAGCAGUGACGAGGAGAACUGUCCAAAGAAGACAUGUGCGACUACAGACUUUGCCUGUAAGAACGGACAGUGUGUCCCUGCGAGGUGGCGCUGUGAUGGAGAGCCGGAGUGUGCAGACGGUUCAGACGAGGCUGAUGCAAUCUGCAGCCGACAGACCUGUCCUCCAGAGAAGUUUGAUUGUGGUGGGGCUGCCAGCAAAUGUGUUUCGUUGUCAUGGCGAUGCGACGGCGAACGGGACUGUGAGAACGGAGCAGAUGAGGAGCAGUGUGCUGCAGAUGCAAAGGCUUGCCCCUCCAAAGAUUUCCAGUGCCGUAACGGGAAGUGUGUGGCGCCAAUCUUCGUCUGUGAUGGCGACGAUGACUGUGGGGACGCCAGCGACGAGGAGAAGUGCUCGACGCCCACCUGCGGCCAGCACGAGUUCCGUUGCAAUGACUCCGAGUGCAUCCCUGCCCUGUGGAGUUGCGAUGGCGACCCAGACUGCAAGGACAAAUCAGACGAGUCCAUGGAGCGCUGCAGCCGGAGGACGGAGCCCCAGAAACCUCGCUGUCCGGUGGGCGAGUUCCAGUGUGGGAGUGGGGAGUGUGUUCACAUGAACUGGAAGUGCGAUGGAGACGCAGACUGCAAGGAUAAAUCGGAUGAAGCAAAUUGUCCUCUGCUCACAUGUCGACCUGAUGAGUUCCAAUGUGGUGAUGGAUCCUGCAUCCACGGCACCAAACAGUGUAAUAAAGUUCAUGACUGUCCAGACUACAGCGAUGAAGCGGGCUGUGUCAACGUUACAAAGUGCGAUGGGCCAAGAAAAUUCCGCUGUAAGAACGGGGAGUGUAUUGACAGCAGCAAGGUGUGUGACAAUGUCAAAGACUGCAAGGACUGGUCUGAUGAACCCGUGAAGGAGUGCGGCAUGAAUGAGUGUGCAGACAACAAUGGCGGCUGCUCCCACAUCUGCAGGGACCAGAGAAUUGGCUAUGAGUGCGACUGUCCCUCUGGGUACAAACUCCUGGACAAAAAGACUUGUGGAGACAUAGAUGAAUGUGAAAACCCAGAUGCCUGCAGUCAGAUUUGCAUCAACUACAAAGGAGAUUAUAAGUGUGAAUGCUACGAGGGCUACGAGAUGGACCCUGCCUCUAAGACCUGCAAAGCCGUGGGAUUGAGUCCGUACCUGAUGUUCACCAACCGUCAUGAGAUCCGUCGCAUUGACCUGCUGAAGAGUGAAUACGCACAGGUGGUUCCCACGCUGAAGAACGCAGUCGCCCUGGAUGUAGACGUGUCCACCAACAAGAUGUUCUGGUGUGAUCUCUAUCAUCGCAAAAUAUACAGUGCUUACAUCAACAAGGCCAGUGACUCAUCGCAGCAGGUGACUCUCAUCGACUCCCUCCACUCCCCCGAGGGUCUUGCCGUCGACUGGGUCCACAAGAACAUCUACUGGACAGACUCGGGAAACAAGAGCAUAUCUGUUGCCACAGGAGACGGCCGGAAGAGAAAAGUGCUGAUCGCCACUGAGCUGAGCGAGCCGAGGGCCAUCGCGGUGGAUCCACACCAAGGGUUUAUGUACUGGUCAGAUUGGGGAGAUCAGGCUAAAAUUGAGAAGUCUGGGUUGAACGGAGUGGACCGACAAGUUCUGGUGUCUGAGCACAUCGAGUGGCCCAAUGGAAUCACUCUGGACUUGUCUAACAGACGUCUCUACUGGGUGGACUCCAAGCUGCACCUGCUGUCCAGUGUGGAUCUAAAUGGAGACAACCGUAAAGUGCUGCUGUCCUCCCAUCACCACCUGGCACACCCCUUCGCCCUCACUGUGUUUGAGGAUCGUGUAUAUUGGACAGACUUGGAGGAAGAAGCGAUUUACAGCGCCAACCGACUGACAGGACAUGAUGUUGCAAAGGUGGCAGAGCACCUCAACAAUCCCCUGGACUUGGUGGUGUUUCAUGAACAAAGGCAGCCCAAGGCCCCUGAUACCUGUAACAUGGGCAGUCUGCCUAACGGUGGCUGUGAAUACCUCUGUCUGAAGGCCCCGCAGAUCACUGACCACUCGCCCAAGUAUACCUGUGCCUGCCCUGAUGGCAUGGAGCUGGGACCAGACAUGAGGCGCUGUGCUGUAGUUCGACCCAGAACGACCACAACAGCUGCUCCGUCAACCACCACUACCACCACAACAACCGCUACAACUAGCACUACAGCUGUUACCAGCACCACAGCACCCCCUACCACCACGACCACAAGGCCCACUACCACCUCUGCUGCUACGACUGUCAGGCCCACGACCAGACGCCUGACAACAUCAGCCCCUCCUCAGACCCCCAGGAGAACCUCUACAGAGCAGCCUCGCACCCCUGCCGCUACAAGUACAGAGACGACCAGUUUGAGCAGCACAAGCAGAACAUCCACACACACACCCCUACUGGGCCCAGUGGCCCCCAACAGCAUUCAAAGAGAGAGCAAUGGCAACCUCUCUCACAGGGCUGCGAGUGAUCACUACCUCAUAGGUAACAACAUCACAGUAGCUGUUCUGGGGAUAGUCAUUCCUAUCGUCCCUAUCCUUGCCACAGUGGUCAUUGGAUUACUCUGCACCGGCGGAUACCUGGUCUGGCGCAACUGGCGGCGCAAGAACACCAAGAGCAUGAACUUCGACAACCCAGUCUACCGCAAAACCACGGAGGACGACGAUGACGAAAUCCACAUUGGACGGCACAGCGAGUCCAUCGGCCACGUGUACCCAGCAGUGAGUGGCAGCCACAGUCAGCCAUUCAUAGCGCUCCCUCUAGGGGGCGGCAUCACAGACAGCAACUCUCACUGGUACUCAGGGGCGCCAAUGCUGUCCAGCAGCAAAUGAGGGAAGCUGCAGGAGAAAGCAAGGGGUUUGGAAUAUUUGAGAUAUGGGAGUAUGUGCAGGGGUUUGGAAAAGCCUGUUUGUUGUACAUGUUUGCCUGGAAAGAAAGAACAGGCUCGCACACGCACACGCCCACAUUCUCACACAUGAGUUUUGCAGUUAUCACUGAAAACACAGAUCGUACGAACACAUAAGCCCUUCACCAGCACAUCGCAUGAAUUUCACCUUCAUGACCAUAAUCAUACAGUACAUUUGUUUAUCAACAUCACAUCUUUGUCGCCAACCUGCCAUCCCAUUUAUUUGUACACUACGUUAGUUUUUCUGGUUGUUGAUGUUUGUUCUGUUACUCAGAGACUUGUGUUUCUUACGGAGCUCCUGUUUCCUUACAAAACUCCUUACACAGACACAUGUCAUCUUUGUUUAGAGAAGCAGCUGAUUUUUCCCACAUGGUCACUAGAAAACAGAAAAUAUGUGCCACAAGGUAUUAUCCUUGUUAGAGAGGAAUUUCAUGGAUGUUUUCUUUGUUAUGUUUGCUGCUAAAAAUGAUAACAAAGAGCCAUCCAGACAUUAGACGGGCACUGAGGCUUUAAUAAUCACCGCUGUACUGAUGCAGUGGGUAUGAAAGAGAGAUGUAUGAUGAGGGAAGCCGUGCUGUGGCGUCGUUGUUUAUUAUCAGUAAAUUAUUUUAGUGCUGAGAUGCUUUUACAGCAGAGAGGGGACUAGUUUUAUUGUUGAAAUCUGACUGGAAGGACAGCAGAGCACAGGAACAUUCCGCAAAUAAAAUUUGGAAUGGAUAGUGAUAUCAUGACAUUGCCCUGAUGUGAAUUUUAUGCUCUUGUUAGAGUGUAAAUGCAACAUGGAGAGUAAAAAGGGGAGCACAAAUCAGAACCAAGGACAGUCAAAAUGACAAUUUCUUAUAUUUUUGAACUGCAGACUGCCCUGUUGAUUUCUCUUGGAUGCAGAAGCAUUUUUUGAGAAUCGGGCAUGAAGCUGCAUUCUCUACAAACUCUCGAAACAAUGCCAGCUCUGAUUUGCACUCAAAUGCCCUUAAAAAAGUGUGUCAUCAGGACACUCCUGACAUUUAUUGAAUAUAUUUGUAUUUUCUGCGUGGAGCGAGCAGGGAAGGGCAGCCAAAAAGGAUUAUGCGAGGGGGGGAGAGUCAAGCGCUUUGAUCGGUUGGCAUGGUAACACAGAUUUCUUUGUGUUGCUCCAGAGAGAAAGGAGGCAGGGAAUUCUGGGUAUCACUGGCAUGAUGACAGGCUGGAAAACACACACUCACACAUACACACACACAAAACAGGUGCACGUCUGAGUCAUAUUAAGAUUCAAGGUCGAAUUAACAACCAUCCUCAGUGUCUGGCUGCACAGAGGGAACUACACUCUCUCUGUGUUCUUCUUGUGUGUCCAAAUCUCUUUUAUUGUCCUCUGAUUUUUAUUUAUUUUUUUCUUGUUUUCUUCCUCUCCUUUCAUGGCAAUGUGGUAACUCUGACAACCAGAGAAAUUAGGUUGGCAUUAUAUGGGCCAGACAUUUACAGCCGUAGGCAAGCAUCCUGCAUUCCUCACAUAAGAGCAGCCAGAGAAGGAGAGAAUGAACAAGGGAAGGGGGCCUGAAGAGGAAGCGCGUGGCACUCAGUCUGGAGGAUGAUGGCUAUCCCUGAGGGGAGGACGCAUUCUGCUCCCCCCCCUUCUCCCCUCAAUUCCAUCCUGGCCCCUCCUCUCACCACAGCCUCUACACCGCUACAAUGAGGCCAGUACAACGCAGACGAGAAAAAGAGAAGGAGUCCUAAUUUUGCCUCCCUGGCAAAUGAGGAGCGAGGAUGACACGUACAUCUCUCCUACUACUACAUUACUACCACUACUAGCCACUACUACUUCCCUUAGUGCUAGUUGAUUUGUAGUCUCCGCUCCUCUCCUCUCUUCUCUCUGCCUCUCAUUAGCUGUAGUGGUGUGUAAAAUGCUGCUUGAUGAUUUUGCUCGAACUAACCUCAUUUGGCUAUCUCAGUGCACAUUGUAAAUAGAAGGCUAUCUGGCCACCAUACAAGGGGGAAAAGCUGGCAUGCAUUAUUUUGAAUUCCUCAUUAUGACUCUUUAUUUAUUUGUUUGUGUUUGCUGUUGUAAAUAUGUCAUCAGCAUCUCUCUUAAGGCAGAUUAGUUUGAGCUUGCAAGGAUAUACAGUACAGCAAGGACGUUAUUUUUCUUCAUAGUUCCCUUUACAUUGUCGGGAGACAUGACAGAUUUAUUUCAAACAACAGGGGAAUGUCAUCCUUUCUCACACCCGGCCUCUCACAUUUGCCCCAUGGCAUACUGUAUGUAGGCAGGCAAAGCUAAAUAUAGCCAAGGGGAAAGGAGACAGAAAAAAAAAUGAUGGGGGUGUCUGUGUGUUUGGAGGUGAUUUCGGGGUGAAAUAGUAAGGGGGAAUGGGUGGAUUUGUGCCACCAGAGGGUAGUGCCUCAAGGCAAAAAGCAGCAGGGCAGAAAAGGCUAAGGAUUAUGGGUAAUCCUCUCUCCUGGUAUCGAGGUGCGCCAGCAGUCAAUGAACUUGAGAUUGUUUGUUUAUUUGCAAUGGGUGUUAAGACUCACACAUGCGCUCCCGUCUUUUUUUUUUCUUUUGAGUCCUGUCUUUGUGUCUGCUGCCAUCAAUAUUUUGGAGGUAAACCUGUGAAGUGUUACAAAACACCUUCCUGUGACUGUUUGAGAUAAGAAAAUGGUGUUUUGAGGGACUGAGUUUUAUCACUUCCUGCUGCCGAACACAAUCGUUAGUGUUUGAACUUGCCCACCCCAUACACACUGAUCCCAGGGACUUCUUAGCUUCACUUCUCCGUCUUUACUCCCCCUCUUUAACAAUGUGCGUUUUCUAGAUGAGAUGCUGUUCUACAUUUGGAAGGAAUGAUUUUCUGCUGUCACUGCGAGUUCAGCGUGGCUGUUAGUGGCCCUGAUUUGUACAAGCAGAUGAGUAAUAAUACGCAGAGGCUGACUGAGCCGGGUGCUGAUUUGAUUUGAAAGCUGAAUAGAGAGGAAACGUGUUAACCAGCAUAAAGAGAUGAUCCUCCAUUGGCUUGCCACAGACAAGCUUCCAGCCCAUUGAAUCAGAUGGAAUUCAUGCCCAGUGACUAUUGCAAUAAUUGCUCACAGUGUGUUGUUAGUGUGAAUCACUAGGAGCGGUCAUGACAACUUCAGAAGGUAGCUGUUACAAGUCGUGGCAAAUGAUUUAUUUUCUGGAUGCCGUUCAGUCUCAAUAAAGGGCAUUUUGAAGCUACAAACACUUCCAAGACAUUUUUAUAAGCUUUACAUUGUCUGAACUAUACAUACAACACUGGUCUUCCAUUCAACAUAUUUGAACGAUGUUGUAUUUCAGUUGAGUUGGACCUAGAAGUGCUUCUCUUUGGCACACCUGCAGUCUUUUCAUGAACUUAUAUAUACUUUAUGACUGAAUAAGCAAAAAAAAAAAAAAAGGACAGAAUGCAAAAUUAAAGUCUUCCAAUACAGGUUCAAUCUAACUGUGCAUACAAACACACAGUUGAUUAAUGGUUGUUAUUAUUCAUAGUUUCCUGGAAAGGUCUGCUACAUGUAAUGCUCUGGAAACCACAGGGGAGGAAGAAAGAAACGCACACAGACAAACGUAGGCAGGAAACGACUGCCAGGAUUAAGAAUAGACUCUAUGCGAACAGGUUUGUGCUCGGAAGAUGAAUGGUGGGCCAUUUAUUUUGCCAGAUUUCUGCUGAUGUUGUGUCUCAGUCACUUCCCUCAGAAGGAUGACACUUAGUCUGUGAUGCACAGUGGGGGAUGUGUAUGUACUGUAUGUGGCAAGUGGCAUGCUAGACGGGUAAAUUAUACCCCUCUCCAGCGCUGCACUCCCCUAUGUCUAUCUAAUGAAGGAGGAUUGAGCACAAGGGAGAGGCCAUCUCCUUCAUCUUUACCUCCUACACAUGAAGAAAAAAUAAAACGUAUUACACGGUGAGGAAGAGUGUGUCUCAGCUCAGAAGGAUCACGGGCUGGUUCAGCAGCUGUUUUUUUUUUUGUUGGGGGGGGUUUGGCAGAAUUUAGGAUUGACAUCGAUAAAACUGUACAUUUGGUAGCUGCAUUUUAGCAUUGAACUAUGGUCCUUCUUUAAUGUUAUGAAGAUUAUUUUUGAUGAAGUCCUAAGGGAAAGUUGAGGGUGAUAAGAAACGUCUCAGGGCUCAGGUAUCUUUGUGAAUUUCAGAUUAAAUAAAUCCCACUGCUGGAUUGAACUCUUGGCUCUGCACCCUCCAUAGUUUCCUUCAUGUGCAUGGUUGCUGCAGGUGUGGUGGGGUUUUCAUCCUGUGGGUUUGCAGAUAGGAGUAUAAAUCAGUUAUUUAUUGAGGUGACUGAGCAUGGCAUUGUCAGAAAUGUAUUAUUGCGGUAGUGUGAAGACAGAUUGGCUGAUCCACUUUGUGGCCACCUUGAGAACCGUCAUCUCUACUGGAGGACGCAGAAGGAAGAAACUUUUGUCAUUCAUCAUAGGCUAGGUAGUAACUGUAUGUGUUGCAGAGGACAGUAUGCUCUCUGGACAUUCUCAUGGAGCUGAUCAGUGCUCUUGUGGCAGUGUAAUCCUGGUUAUAAUCAUCCAUAAUCAGUUAGAUUCAUUAACAACAGGCUGCGGUUGAACAGAUCAAGUCCAGCACUCUGCCUCAUGCUGAAGAGGCUGAAGAACAAUUAAUAGUGUGUUUAUGUACGUUAAUAACAUAUGUGCAGCUAUUCAGUUACUGUAAUACAGGUGAGAUGUUGUAUAGCUAAGUUUGUUUCUCCCGGGUCAGUUAUUUGUUAUACGUUUAAAUCUUGCUCAGUAGUUGAUGCGCUGCUGCAAGUAAAAACAUCAUAUCUUACAAAAAAUCUAUUUAACACCACAAAAGCACUGUUCAAAUGCAAACAGCAGUAUCAUGUUGGACUAUAUUGCACGCCAUUCUUAUAUGUCUGGGGCAACCAUAUUGAAUUUACUAAAGAGACCUAAUGAGACAUCAUUCACACAUCUAAGUGACACUGGAUUAAAAUGCUGUUUUUAAUGAGUAAACGUGGAAGUUCACAACAAUAUUACACAAUAUACAUCUUUCAGUCUCGUGACUUUAUGCCUGUAUCGACAUGAGACUAAAUAACCAAAUAAUCAAUUGAGGUAAUGUUAUCAGAUAUUUCCCAUUCACUUCUUACUCUGGUACACAUAUUUCUCCAUGUAUGCAUAUACUGGCAUAUAUUUAGUCCCAUAUUCCUUUACCGUCAGUGAAUUGUCACUGAGACACCACAAGCAGCUGGUGUGACACAAUCCUGAUUCUAGAUCUCAGCUUUGGAUAUAUAUGCACGUUUUCCAUAGAAUAUCUACAUUGUGUAGGCCUAACCAACCUAGAGAUUUAACUCUAGCCCCUUUUACACUCUCUUCAAAGUGGGAACUUUGCAACGUUAUCCCUCCUUGCCGUCUUUAUAGAAGUUACAAAGGUAGACAGUUUCGUUCCGCCGCUGAUCCACCAGCAGAUGUAGUAACCGAGUCAUAACGGAGGCGACAUGGCAAAGGAGGCAUUAUGCUGGUGCUUCUUGGCUCAGGAUAAAAAAAACAAGAUGCGAGAAUUUGUCACAGCACUGUUACAUAAUAUUUGUUUGAAAGGCGCUUCUGUUUAAAGAUAGCGGAAUAUUCCUCACGAGUCCUCGUGCGUAAUAGGCAGGUUACCACCACCAAAGUUCAAACUAAAUCAAGUCAACUAUGGCACGGUUGCCUGUCGUUUAUUUUAUAUGAAAGAUGUUCGAAGUCAGAGCUCAUUAUAGCAAAUUCUAACAGCCAUGAUGACCCAUAAAUCUAAUAUAAUUGUAUCCUGUAAUUCUAGAGUUCCUGAUUUGUGCUUCCUGUUUUUAAUUCUCCUGUUGCUUGUCCUUUCCUUCGUCUCUGCACUCUUUCUAAUAGUUGUCUCCACUGAAUCUGACCCAUGCUGCUUAAACCAGAACACACUGACUGCUUUCUAACAUCACUCACAUUUCUCCACCACUUUACAUCCUUCAAGCACUGUAUCAAAUGCAGGGUCAACCGUGAGGCAUCUAGACCUCCUGUGGUUGUCACACUACUGAUUUUUAGUUUAAAGAGCAAAGUCAGCGUCAUUGUCUCUUUGCACUCUCAUUCUCUCGCCCUCCCAUUCUCAUGACAUCUUUCCUUUGGCAAGGGCUAUCAGUUUUUGGGUAGACAGACACCGAAAGAUUGGAUAAAAACACACUGGAGGAAAUAACCUGCAAUCCCAAAAAUAACAAAGGAAACCCCCAGAGCUGGAGAAAAAGAGCCCUCCCGACCGUGAACCAGCGAACAGGGGAGCAAGCACGCUCAGGCAGGAGAAGCAGCACCCUAACCACCACCUCCACCUGCACCCCCCAACCAGCCACAGUUUCAGACUGUUGAAGGAGCCCUCAUUGACUCUACUUGGCUGACAUUAGCCCUCAUUGACCCAGUGACUUUCCUUCACCAGCUGGUUCCUCUUAUUAUCAUGUGUUUUUUGGACUGUUAGUCUGUGAGUUGUAGUUGUUGCUCUCUCUCUCUCUGUCUCUUUUCACCAAGCUGUUCUGUUUCAUAUUUGAUCUUGAUUACUUGAAGGGCAGUGUCCAGUCGCCUACAUUUUUCUACCAGUGUAACAUAAGGUUGGGGGGGCGGGCAGCAAUGUGGAAGUUGUGUGUGUAAAUCCUGUAAUGGUUCUGGAUGAUGAUAUACAGGGGAAAUAUUUUGAUAUGUAAUUAUCACAGAUUUGGACAUUGUACUUCAACAAUUGACUCGCUGCAAAUACGAUCGGCUCCAAUUCUUUGCAAAACUGUCUGCCCACAUUUCCUCCAAAUGUUGCUGAUGUGUCAUCGCCUGCAAGGAAAUCUCAAACACCAUUCGGGGCUCCGUCCAUCCCACAGCCAUACGACAGGUAUUUUUUUUACGCUGUUUGUUGCACAAAACUUUUCAAGAAGCCUUCUGCACUGUGUAAAGAGAUAACGUUCUUGGGAGGGGAGGAAAUUAAAAAGGGGGGGGUGGUUCAAUGGUACAGUCCAAUGGUUUUGAAUCGUGACUUGUAAAUACGUUUUCAUACAGCAAAAACUUUUUGAUAAUGUUUUAAAUGUAUCUGUAAAAAAACAACAAAAAAAAA